rnacentral:rRNA from 1 species
UGGGUAACCUGCCCUCAGCACGGGGAUAACCCCGGGAAACCGGAGCUAAUACCGGAUACUCCGGCUGGAUCGCAUGGUCCGGCCGGGAAAGGUCCGCCGGAGAGGGAUGGGCCCGCGGCCUAUCAGCUUGUUGGUGAGGUAACGGCCCACCAAGGCGACGACGGGUAGCCGGCCUGAGAGGGCGACCGACCACACUGGGACUGAGACACGGCCCAGACUCCUACGGGAGCA